UCAUUCUUUUUUUAUUUGAUGGUCUUAUAAAAUAUUUUGGAACGUUAAGGUUACAUAGCUAUCAAAGCAGGUAACCAGUAAAUAAUAGUGUAAAAAUUGGGUUGUUUACUUCCGGUGAUGAUUAUUUUCUCAUAUGCAAUGAAAUGUUGUGUGAAAUUUUCACUGUAUCACUGGAAAGGAUUAAACUUUACACAUGCAAAGUAUUUCUUUGGUUGAAAUAAAGUGUUCACAUGUUCUGAAGAGCAUUCUGUUGAUAAAUCUUAUAUGUGAAUUGGUCUGCAGAUAACACUUCAGCAUUAAAACAAAAGAUAUCAAGUUUUGAUGAAAAAGAGAGGAAGGAGGAAAAAUGGACCAAAACAGACCAAAACAGACCUUCAAAUGAACUCUAAAAGGUGCAAUAAAAUUGUUUAUCAUCUUAAAGUUGUCUUUUGUAUUCUAUUUAAUUGUUUGAAUGCAUAGAUCAUGAAUUUCUGAUCA